UAAGCGACUAAGCGUACACGGUGGAUGCCUAGGCAGUCAGAGGCGAUGAAGGGCGUGCUAAUCUGCGAAAAGCGUCGGUAAGCUGAUAUGAAGCGUUAUAACCGACGAUACCCGAAUGGGGAAACCCAGUGCAAUACGUUGCACUAUCGUUAGAUGAAUACAUAGUCUAACGAGGCGAACCGGGGGAACUGAAACAUCUAAGUACCCCGAGGAAAAGAAAUCAACCGAGAUUCCCCCAGUAGCGGCGAGCGAACGGGGAGGAGCCCAGAGUCUGAAUCAGUUUGUGUGUUAGUGGAAGCGUCUGGAAAGUCGCACGGUACAGGGUGAUAGUCCCGUACACCAAAAUGCACAGGCUGUGAACUCGAUGAGUAGGGCGGGACACGUGACAUCCUGUCUGAAUAUGGGGGGACCAUCCUCCAAGGCUAAAUACUCCUGACUGACCGAUAGUGAACCAGUACCGUGAGGGAAAGGCGAAAAGAACCCCGGCGAGGGGAGUGAAAUAGAACCUGAAACCGUGUACGUACAAGCAGUGGGAGCACCUUCGUGGUGUGACUGCGUACCUUUUGUAUAAUGGGUCAGCGACUUAUAUUUUGUAGCAAGGUUAACCGAAUAGGGGAGCCGUAGGGAAACCGAGUCUUAACUGGGCGUCUAGUUGCAAGGUAUAGACCCGAAACCCGGUGAUCUAGCCAUGGGCAGGUUGAAGGUUGGGUAACACUAACUGGAGGACCGAACCGACUAAUGUUGAAAAAUUAGCGGAUGACUUGUGGCUGGGGGUGAAAGGCCAAUCAAACCGGGAGAUAGCUGGUUCUCCCCGAAAGCUAUUUAGGUAGCGCCUCGUGAACUCAUCUUCGGGGGUAGAGCACUGUUUCGGCUAGGGGGCCAUCCCGGCUUACCAAACCGAUGCAAACUCCGAAUACCGAAGAAUGUUAUCACGGGAGACACACGGCGGGUGCUAACGUCCGUCGUGAAGAGGGAAACAACCCAGACCGCCAGCUAAGGUCCCAAAGUCAUGGUUAAGUGGGAAACGAUGUGGGAAGGCACAGACAGCCAGGAUGUUGGCUUAGAAGCAGCCAUCAUUUAAAGAAAGCGUAAUAGCUCACUGGUCGAGUCGGCCUGCGCGGAAGAUGUAACGGGGCUAAACCAUGCACCGAAGCUGCGGCAGCGACACUUAGGUGUUGUUGGGUAGGGGAGCGUUCUGUAAGCCGUUGAAGGUGACCUGUGAGGGUUGCUGGAGGUAUCAGAAGUGCGAAUGCUGACAUAAGUAACGAUAAUGCGGGUGAAAAACCCGCACGCCGGAAGACCAAGGGUUCCUGUCCAACGUUAAUCGGGGCAGGGUGAGUCGACCCCUAAGGCGAGGCUGAAAAGCGUAGUCGAUGGGAAACAGGUUAAUAUUCCUGUACUUGGUGUUACUGCGAAGGGGGGACGGAGAAGGCUAGGCUGGCCGGGCGACGGUUGUCCCGGUUUAAGCGUGUAGGGGGAGUGACCAGGUAAAUCCGGUUGCUUAUCAACCCUGAGGCGUGAUGACGAUGCACCACGGUGCAGAAGCAGUUGAUGCCAUGCUUCCAGGAAAAGCCUCUAAGCAUCAGGUAACAUUAAAUCGUACCCCAAACCGACACAGGUGGUCAGGUAGAGAAUACUCAGGCGCUUGAGAGAACUCGGGUGAAGGAACUAGGCAAAAUGGUGCCGUAACUUCGGGAGAAGGCACGCUGGCGUUAGGUGAAAGGACUAGCUCCUGGAGCUGAAGCCAGUCGCAGAUACCAGCUGGCUGCAACUGUUUAAUAAAACACAGCACUGUGCAAACACGAAAGUGGACGUAUACGGUGUGACGCCUGCCCGGUGCUGGAAGGUUAAUUGAUGGGGUCAGCCGCAAGGCGAAGCUCUUGAUCGAAGCCCCAGUAAACGGCGGCCGUAACUAUAACGGUCCUAAGGUAGCGAAAUUCCUUGUCGGGUAAGUUCCGACCUGCACGAAUGGCGUAAUGAUGGCCAGGCUGUCUCCACCCGAGACUCAGUGAAAUUGAACUCGCUGUGAAGAUGCAGUGUACCCGCGGCAAGACGGAAAGACCCCGUGAACCUUUACUAUAGCUUGACACUGAACAUUGAGCCUUGAUGUGUAGGAUAGGUGGGAGGCCUUGAAGUGUGGACGCCAGUCUGCAUGGAGCCAACCUUGAAAUACCACCCUUUAAUGUUUGAUGUUCUAACUCGGCCCCAUGAUCUGGGGUGAGGACAGUGUCUGGUGGGUAGUUUGACUGGGGCGGUCUCCUCCCAAAGAGUAACGGAGGAGCACGAAGGUUAGCUAAUCACGGUCGGACAUCGUGAGGUUAGUGCAAAGGCAUAAGCUAGCUUGACUGCGAGAGUGACGGCUCGAGCAGGUACGAAAGUAGGUCUUAGUGAUCCGGUGGUUCUGAAUGGAAGGGCCAUCGCUCAACGGAUAAAAGGUACUCCGGGGAUAACAGGCUGAUACCGCCCAAGAGUUCAUAUCGACGGCGGUGUUUGGCACCUCGAUGUCGGCUCAUCACAUCCUGGGGCUGAAGUAGGUCCCAAGGGUAUGGCUGUUCGCCAUUUAAAGUGGUACGCGAGCUGGGUUUAGAACGUCGUGAGACAGUUCGGUCCCUAUCUGCCGUGGGCGUUGGAAGAUUGAGAGGGGCUGCUCCUAGUACGAGAGGACCGGAGUGGACGAAUCACUGGUGUUCGGGUUGUCAUGCCAAUGGCAUUGCCCGGUAGCUAAAUUCGGAAGAGAUAACCGCUGAAAGCAUCUAAGCGGGAAACUUGCCUCGAGAUGAGUCUUCCCUGGGGCUUAAAGCCCCCUGAAGGAACGUUAAAGACUAUGACGUUGAUAGGCUGGGUGUGUAAGUGCAGCGAUGUAUUGAGCUAACCAGUACUAAUGAUCCGUGAGGCUUAACCU
rnacentral:rRNA from 1 species